rnacentral:lncRNA from 1 species
AGGUAUUGUUAAUGAGAGCAUUAAUGACGAAGGUUUAAGGUUGCCUACUUCCAUAACGUUUCUGUAGUUCGUUCGCUGGUAAGAAAAAGACGAUUCGAUUAGACACAGGCGCCGGGUUACAACAGGGUUAGGCCAUAAACCAUUGUCCAACGUUACUCGGACUAAUUUUCUUCGGCUGCUACAACCGUCACAGUUCAUAGGAGUUUCUGAGACGACGACAAUUCAUAUCUAGUACAGGUAAAUAGAUACAUGGCCCAAUAUUUAGGACAUG